AUGCUCCCUGCAGACAAUUUAUUGCAGCCUUCUCAGGGUGGCCCCCUGCUCUGUUCACCAGGGGGAAGGUGUAAUAAAUUGCCUGCGGGGAGGCUUUGC
rnacentral:pre_miRNA from 1 species